rnacentral:rRNA from 1 species
GUAGGUGGCAAGCGUUGUCCGGAAUUAUUGGGCGUAAAGCGCGCGCAGGUGGUUCUUUAAGUCUGAUGUGAAAGCCCCCGGCUCAACCGGGGAGGGUCAUUGGAAACUGGGGAACUUGAGUGCAGGAGAGGAAAGUGGAAUUCCACGUGUAGCGGUGAAAUGCGUAGAUAUGUGGAGGAACACCAGUGGCGAAGGCGACUUUCUGGCCUGUAACUGACACUGAGGCGCGAAAGCGUGGGGAGCAAACAGGGAUUAGAUACCCUGGAAGUCCACGCCGUAAACGAUGAGUGCUAAGUGUUGGGGGGGUUUCCCGCCCCUCAGUGCUGCAGCUAACGCAUUAAGCACUCCGCCUGGGGAUACGGUCGCAAGACUG